rnacentral:lncRNA from 1 species
UGUCUCUCUCUCUCCUCUCUCUCAGAUGGGCUUUCUUUCUCCUGAGCCUCCGGGUUCCUCCAGUCUGCAACCACCGGUCUUCACCAGAUUCACAGUCUGAAUUCGGGAGUGAAGCCCACCACUGUGGAGGCCGCCCUGCUCCAGCCACGGGCCAAUACCUGGACCACCCGGCCAGGAGGCGCUGCGGGCCAUUCUCCAGGGGCCACUGGCAGCCGGCGCCCAGCCCCCAUCUCCUCGCGCAGAGCCCAGCCCAGCCCAGCCGCCAGCUCCGAGUUCUGCGCCGCCCGCUGGGGUUACUCGCGGUCAUUUCGCUGCACCACCUCGCCCCAGCUUUGCCACCCGCGCCGGUCCUCAAGCUGUCCCAAGGGACGAGCAGCAAAGGGCAGAAGAUGGGGCAGAAGGUGAAGCAGAAUGGGUCCCCCGGCUCUGGUUUCCGCAGGCUCUUCUAAGUCUUGAAAGGAACAAAACUCAUUCCCCCACCCCCACCCUCUGUGCCAGGGACAACAGCUCCGCGAGCGCACGGAAACUGCAGGCAGGACCCCCAGGUCUAACAAAGCCCCCGGGCCUCAAGCGAGCCAUAUCACAUCCGACUCCGUUUGGGACACAACUACUCCAGUUCUGUGGAUACAACGACGAGCCUCUCCAGUCCUGGGGCGCUGAGCUGAUCCCGAGCUCAGAGCUCAACACCGACCAGUUUCUUAAGAAAGGAGUGAGGACUCAAAGCUGGCAUUUGUCCCCGUGGGCGCCGGCUCACUCGCAGCUAGAGGGGCUUCCAGCCGGCCCCAGCGCUUCCAAACAAAGGGAAGCGCUUUGCGUCCGAUCUGCCACUCUCCCCACCUCAGUAGCAGCGCCCCCAGCAUGCCCAGGAAACCCCGACCUCACUGCGCCCAAGGUACUGCUCCCGGUUCUCCAUGCCCAAAGAUGCUCUCCGGACACCCUGACAGGGCGAGCCCCGGGGGUAGCAGCAGUGCGGCGACCCGGGGUCUGCACAGCAGGCAUCCUCUCCCCCUUUACGCCGCUCCUACC